UGACGGGAUUUGUGUGGUGCUUGCACCAUAUAAUGAGAGUAGCGCACUGGUGAGUAACACGUGGGAACGUGCCUUUUAGUGGGGGAUAACAUCUGGAAACGGAUGCUAAUACCGCAUACGCCCUGAGGGGGAAAGAUUUAUUGCUAAGAGGUCGGCCCGCGGUAGAUUAGGCAGUUGGUGGGGUAAAGGCCUACCAAACCUACGAUCUAUAGCUGGUCUGAGAGGACGAUCAGCCACAUUGGAACUGAGACACGGUCCAGACUCCUACGGGAGGCAGCAGUGAGGAAUAUUGGGCAAUGGAGGCAACUCUGACCCAGCCAUGCCGCGUGAGUGAGAAGGUUUUCGAAUUGUAAAGCUCUUUCGGGUGUGAAGAUGAUGACGGUAACACCAGAAGAAGCCCCGGCAAACUUCGUGCCAGCAGCCGCGGUAAUACGAAGGGGGCGAGCGUUGUUCGGAAUUACUGGGCGUAAAGGGUGUGUAGGCGGUUAAGUAAGAUAGUGGUGAAAUGCCGGGGCUCAACCUCGGAAUUGCCAUUAUGACUAUUUAGCUAGAAUGAUGCAGAGGAUAGCGGAAUACCCAGUGUAGAGGUGAAAUUCGUAGAUAUUGGGUAGAACACCAGAGGCGAAGGCGGCUAUCUGGGCAUUGAUUGACGCUGAGGCACGAAAGCAUGGGGAUCAAACAGGAUUAGAUACCCUGGUAGUCCAUGCUGUAAACGAUGAAUGCUAGUUGUUGGAGGAAUUCAGUGACGCAGUUAACACAAUAAGCAUUCCGCCUGGGGAGUAC
rnacentral:rRNA from 1 species